GAACCCAUGUCCUCUCGCACCACCCAGGUACUAUGAGACAGUAGUACUACUCGCUGUGCCACGCAUUUAAACUAAAGCUGCUCAGUCGGCAUAAGAAGUAAGUAUCGCAGGUCAGUGUCCAGCACUUAGUCAGUAAAUGGAGGCUUUGGCUCCCACCCUAUCAAAUCAUCACCUGCUAAAUGAGGUAAUUAUGCAGGCCUUGGAAAGGAGCUGUGCUGUACAACGUUUUUUCGCUAUGAUUAAAAUGAAUAUGAACAGGGGCUGGGAUGCACAAACAGUCCUUCAUAUCAUGUCUGAACUGAUCUCUGCUCAAAGGCAACCCUUUAACGCCCUUCUUUGUUACCUCUGUGGCUUUAACUCACUUUUGCUGUUGCACAACUGCGGUGCAGUCAAGGCUCAAAAGGAGGUAUUAAUAUUCUUAAGACUAUCUGAAAACCCACAUUUUCCAUGGAUGUCAGAAGUCAAGGUGCUUUGAAAGAGACUGGGGCUCUAAAGAAAGUAACAUCUAAUCUGUUAUAUAAAAAUGACUACAGGCAGGGUGGGGAAAAGAGAUUUAAUUAAAGUCUCAGAAUGCAAGUACAUCAGCUGCAGAGUUUUGAUCGGAAAUUUAGCGCUACGAUGGCGCCGCACAGGAGCACCCGCCGUGACGUAGGCGCCUGUACUUCGCCCGGGUUCGGCUGCACUGACAGCCUGAGCGGUGAGUGCUGCAUUCCUCCAACGAGCCACCCGGGGGAUAAGAAGCAGCGCCCGUAACAGCGCCGCCAUGAACCUCAGAAGGACCUGCUUCCCUAGUCCAAGUGUUGUUGGCGGAAGCACGCAGUGGAUUGUAUCCGCGGGAAACGCUGAAUGCUCGUUCUGACAGACUAAUAGCGGGGCGAAGCCAGUACACACCUAUAUCAAGGGAGAUGCUUGAGAAGAGCUUUGACAUGAAAUCAGAGAUGAUAUGAAGGUGUGGGCCAGUCCUGGGCUGACAGCCAUGCCCCAACAGUUAGAGGCAAGUGUCCAGAUCUUUUUUUUUUUUUUUUUUUUUUUUUUUUUUUAGCGGUAACGAGGUAAAUAAAAGCUGCCUCAAGCCAGCCUGCCUGCAGCAAACGGGAAAGACGCGACUACUAGUGCAAAUGCCUGUACAGACAGCAACAAAGACGCAGAACAACGGUUCACAACACGUACAACGGUGUGGUGAGGCUUAAAUAAAUACGGAACAUUUGGUUCGAACUUGUGACGGGGCGAAGGGAGCUUCUAAAAGGAGCCGUUCGCCGUUACAGCUUCACAACGGUUGCGUUUAAAAGCCCGUUUUCAGCUGAGAUUUUACAAUGAAUAUAAUAAAACAAAAGGACAGAGCUGUAAAUUUAAAAAAAAAAAUACAGAAAGAGGUUAAAUACUUGUGAAAUGAAAUACUCCCCAUUUCUAAAUCUAAAAAAUAUCAGUUACACAAAUUAUUUUUUUAUCCUUAAGAUGCAGCAGAAUACAUUAUAACCCUUUAAUCUGUGCAGUAAUUUCAGUUACGCUGUCCAAAAUACCGGGAACAAAACUGUCUGCCUAUCUCAUCUGGUAAUGAUGAAAUACACAUGAAAACCAACAAGAGCACAAGGCAAAGUGAAAAGACAUUAUUUAAAAAAAUAUAAACACUGAAGUCCUGAUCUCCAUCGCAACCAAAAGCCCUUAAGCACAAAGUGUCAGGGUGGAGAAGGAGAGCUUUGUGUAGGUGGACGAGCUCUUAAGAUUCACGUCAGGCAGAGUCAAAACAGGCCCACCCACAAUCAGAAAUUACAUAUUUACUUCUGCGGCACGGUUUAUAAUUUUGUUUCCAAAACGACUCGGAGGAUUUCUCAGUUCCGCACGGGGACCGCACGUCGCCCGGGGUCCGCGGCACGUCAGCGCUUCCGCACCGCAACUCAAAGCCUGUUCUUGCGCAUUUGGCAAAUUUCGCACGUCUCGCGCCUGGACCGGAGUCCGGCUGCGUCAACGGCCUUCGCUCCCCUCCUCCAGCUCGAGCACAGAGAGAGACUCGGUCGACAGUUCAUCCCCCCAGAACCAACUCCAAGCCGCGAAAAGGCCUUCGGAUCCAAAGGCGGCGAGGCCGCGUCCAUCCCAUAGACGAGAGGAAGUUGGGAGCAGAUGGAUCCUCGGUGCUUUUUGGUCUGUUUGCCGCUGGAGUCGUUUCCAAAGGUCGCCAGGAAUUCCUCGGUGCCAGACCAAACAUGCCUGCAUCGGUCCAAGCACCUCAUUGGUACGCCUCAAGGGUACGAAAUGCAUAAGGGUACAGCGAGGCCGUAAGCGCCCUGCCAAAACCACAUCUGCGUUUGCUGUGCCGAGGAACCGGGUUCCCGUCUCAACUGCUGCGCUGGGUACGGCAGCAAGGUGAAACGCCCUGCCCGUGUCGGCGUGCGGCCGCACCUCCGCCAACUCAGAGCGGGUUCGCUUCUUCAGGGGAACCGUAUCCGGACCAGCUCGGCAUGGGCGGCAGAACCAGGCCGUCUCCGGGUGGCUCCAUACCAACAGCCAGGAGCAGCGUCCUUGUGCCAGCCACGCCUCACCCUGUCCCUCCUUCCCAGACAGAGCUUUAUUGAUGGAGGAAUGUCUGGAAUGUGAGAGGGAACCUUUGCAAGCAACCAGCUGUGGGAAGCAAGUGACAGAAAGCGAAAGGAUAAACCGAAUGGUCAGCGGAGGACGGGGGAGGACGACUCGUCCCGGCAUGGCGGGACUCGGCGUCGGAACUGACCGGGAGAAAU